AACGCGAAGAACCUUACCUGGGCUUGACAUGUGAGUGACCGCCGUGGAAACACGGUUUCCCUUCGGGGCACUUUCACAGGUGGUGCAUGGCUGUCGUCAGCUCGUGUCGUGAGAUGUUGGGUUAAGUCCCGCAACGAGCGCAACCCCCGUCGCAUGUUGCCAGCAUUUAGUUGGGGACUCAUGCGAGACUGCCGGUGACAAACCGGAGGAAGGUGGGGAUGACGUCAAGUCAUCAUGCCCCUUAUGUCCAGGGCUACACACGUGCUACAUUGGCGCGUACAGAGGGCUGCGAUACCGCGAGGUGGAGCGAAUCCCUUAAAGCGCGUCUCGGUUCGGAUUGCAGGCUGAAACCCGCCUGCAUGAAGGCGGAGUUGCUAGUAAUCGCGGAUCAGCACUGCCGCGGUGAAUACGUUCCCGGGCCUUGUACACACCGCUACAGU
rnacentral:rRNA from 1 species